AAUUCCAUUUUAUUCUCGUUCGAGCUAUCUCUGCACUUGCGGGCACGUCGUACUGAAGCACGAGAAGUUCUCGUCGAAUUCGACUCAUCUUCUACAUCGGGAAGAAAUCUGUGUCAAUCCAUCCUUACUAGGCGUAUUGAGACCGCUCAAUUCGUGGGCUUACCCUUCGACAAAAGGUCGGUAAGAAAGGAUCAUUAACCCUAGAAUAGCAAAGGAUGAGCUCUUGGUAAACUAAUUUGGCCUUCUUUAUGGCUGAUGCUGAAGUUUCAUCAGUUUGAUCGUUUUGGAUCGAAGAAUUUAUAGAAAAUUCGCCGGUUGUCUCAAUCUCCGGCAUUUAAAUCAGAAAUCUAGGUUUGGCAUAUUCUCUAGGUGUCGGUGAUUGGAUCAUUUUUCUUGUUCAAAACCCUAGGAUCUUCUUUCUACUUCUGAAAGAAAACCCUUUAUUUGUUUGUUCGUAUCUCUUGAUUGCUAGUUGGUUGCAAUCUCUAUUUCACCCGAAAAGUUGGUAUUUUUCUACCAAAAGCUACCACCUUCCUUAUUGAGUUGGUUACUGUGAUGGGUUGGACGUGAUGAUUAGAAAUGAUGCAGGUAUCGACUGGGACCAUACCAAGUGGGAGCAACUUCUCUAUUUGAACUGCUUCAAUGUCCAAAAAAGGGUUUCAGAAGCUAGAGUGUUUGAAUUUAUUGUCUAGACGCACUGAUGAUAGUGUGUUGGCUGUUUUGAAAGAAGUGGGGCCGGUAAUUAUUGGUUUUGGUUGCCUUAGAUUUGUUGAAGCUGGUUAUUUCGAGAAACUGAGCUGCCCAAGCAGUUGGGUGUUUUUUUGGGAUUUUCAGGAGAGUCAGGCAUAUGUUUGUUGAUUCGGGGUCAUACCUGUGCUUGUUUCAUUAAUAAAGGAGGGUAAUUCCUCAGUAAUGCUCUCAUGAUAAUUUCUAGUCUUGUUUACUACCUCAGACCUGUAGCUCAAGCUGGUGCAAUCCUGUUGUAUGUGGAGCUGCACAAAGGACCUGAACCCCUUGGAAAAGAAAUUGCUGAAUAUGUUUUUUGUGUAUCGGCUCUAGAGAGGAGAAUGCUGUGAUGUAUCAGAAAAGAUGGUGAGGAUUCUUGAGGCUGAUGCCGAGAAGGCAAAAGCUGCAGCUUCAUAUGUUCUGUGGGAUCUUUCAAGGUACAGUCCAUUUCUGUUUUCAAAUAAUUGGGUGUAAUUCCAGUUCUGGUUGAGCUUUCCCAGAAUACAGAUGGUGAUCUUAGGGAGAAGCCAUCUCGUGCUACUACAUGACUAAACUAUUAUGCAGCAAACAGGGAUACCAUCUUGUUAGCUGGUGCAAUUCCUGUUCUUAUUGAUCUCUUGAGUGGUGAGCUGGAUGAGAUGAGAGACUGUGCAGCAGAACGUCUGAUUAACUUUGCAGAAGACCCAUUGUAUCGAGUGCAAGUGUCUUAAGCCUUUAUAAUUCAAUCGUUUGUGACCAUCCAAGAUAGAUUAAUUCAAUUCUAGACUACGGAAGAAUGCUCUGUUUGUUAAGAAACAAGUAUGGUGGUGAUCUAUGGAAUUAAUAAGUAAAUACUUCGGAGGGUCUUCUCUAAAUCAAGCUGCCAAUAGUUUGCUGCAAGUAUGAAAGCUUUGCUUGUUCUCGAAUCUUCAGCACAGGGAUGGGACAUGAAAAUGAGUUCUUCAAACCAAGUUUUGUGGUGAAAAACUUGCAAUGAGGAUUAAAGGAGGGCUUCUUGCAGGGAGGGAGGCUUCUGCUUUGGAACUAUACAAGUUGGAAUCUGGAAGUCCUAAAAGUAACUGGCAGCUGAUAUCCGACAUCAAGAGACGAACCAAUACAACAGGAUUAGGAGAAGAAGACAUGUUAUGCAUCAUGUCAGGCCCCAUCGAAGAUGCAGAUGGUUCAAGUGUCAUGUAAGAGAUCUGUUCUUAUAUGCAGAAAUUUUUCUCGUUUCUUUCUGCAAGACUGGCCAAACAGAAGGAAUCUCCUUAAAAGAAUUCGACGGUUCAUGAGCUAACAACGAUACAGCAAUCCAUCCUUGUGCUGGUUGUGACUCCAUGGUCAGCAGUUGGUGCAGCUUUCAUGAUCAACAGUAUCACCACCACCAGGAACAUCAAGGACAGCAAGAACGACAGCGUGCACUUGCAGCUCUUAGUGGGUCGCCCAGGCUCAAUAUCUACCGUGGAGAAGUAGACAGUUUGUGAGACUGCAAUAAUGCACUGAGCCAUGCAUACCUUGUCGAAUUCAUGGAUGAAGUUUUCUUUGGAUGUAGCCAAUGGCUGGACUCUGUUCGACAUCGCUGCUUUUCACGACUGAAACAUGCAGUCAGUUCAACAUUAUUGUGGGCUUCUAUUUGUUCCACUCUGCUGUGUCUGAUCCAUGCAUGAAAGAAGUUAUGCUUUUACA